CAACAUAGACUAUAAUUUGGAUAAUAUAUGUUUAAGGACAUUUUUUUACAUAAUAAUAAAUUUGGGAGCAAAAUCAAUGCAUUCAGACAUUCUGAUGCCUCUUGAUUGUCUUGUUGAUAAUUGAAACCACUUUGCUUUCUAAUACCUUCACUUAACAGAAGGAUAUCCUAUCAAAAAACACAACAUCAAAGAUAUGCAUUUCAAAAUUGUAAAAAUUCCCUAAAAGUCAUGAUGAACGCUUUAUUUCUAUUUUUACUCAAUUUCUUAACUGCUUUUACUAGGAAAGCAUUUAUUUUCGAACACAGGAACUUUACAGAUCGAAAAAUAUACAUAAAAGAGUUAACUACUUCAAAACUUUACUUAAAUCUAAAAAACAAAUACAAAAAUAAAUUUAACAAUAAACAAAUUUGAUCAAGGUACACUUGUUUGAUGACCUUGCAAAACGUAAGUUUAUUUGUUUAAGUAACUAAAAGGUGUAAUUGUUUUGUAUAUAAAUGGGGUGGCUAUGUAAGACAAGACAGAAACAAUGUCACCCAUGUUCAAAUACUAAUUGUAGUAAAUACUGGUUUAUAUGACAAGAAACUGGCUAACAAGCUUAUAAGUAAAGACAGAAC
rnacentral:lncRNA from 1 species